AAAAAAAUAGUUUAUGUAUCAAAUAUGCAUAUUCAAUUUACCAUUUUCUGCAUGUGUCAUAUACAAAUAUAUAGUGUCCAUAUUUGUCCCCAAUAUGUUACAUACGAGGGGAUGCCACGCUCGGCAUUGCCUUGUUUGAACUGUAAAAUGUGUGCACUAGUCUGAAUAAUCACCCAUAAUUAUGCCCAUGUUUACUGAUCUAUCUUAAAGGUAAGGUAAUGGGUUCGUUGAUCCCUUUUAUUCAAAAAGAGCUCUUUUCAGGAGAAUAUCAUAAUAAUAUAGACAAAAGGAAGGAUGUGGGGAAAGCAACAAAUGCGGCAAAAUAUGACAUAUAGAAAACAAAAUGGUUAUGGAGUAAACAUUUGUGUGACAACAACUCAGACG
rnacentral:lncRNA from 1 species